ensembl:lncRNA
GGCAGUUAUGGGGUGGGGGGGGUUGAGGGUGGGGUAUGGGGGGUCUAUAGGGUCAGUUAUGGGGUGAUGGGUAUUUUGGGGGCACUUAUGGGGUGAUGUAGCGUGGGGUUGUGGGGUAUAGGGGCAGUUAUGGGGUGAUGUGGGGUGGGGCAGGGUUAUGGGGUGGGGACGUAUGGGGGUGUAUGGGGUCAUGUGGGGACAUAUGGGGUCACAUACCGGCCUAUGAGGAUAUAUGGGAUCAUAUGGGGUCAUAUGGGGGUUUAUAGGGUCAUAUGGGGACGUAUAGGGAUAUAUGGGGAUGUAUGGGGAUAUAUGGGAUCAUAUGGGGUCAUAUGGGGGUUUAUAGGGUCAUAUGGGGACGUAUAGGGAUAUAUGGGGAUAUAUGGGGUCAUAUAGGGACAUAUGGGGACAUACAGGGAUAUAUGGGGCCACAUACCGGCGUAUGAGGAUAUAUGGGAUCAUAUGGGGUCAUACGGGGGUUUAUAGGGUCAUAUGGGGACGUAUAGGGAUAUAUGGAGAUGUAUGGGGUCAUAUAGGGACAUAUGGGGACAUACUGGGAUAUAUGGGGUCAUAUAGGAACAUAUGGGGACAUACAGGGAUAUAUGGGAUCAUAUAAGGAUGUAUCGGCACGUAUGGGGAUAUAUGGGGUCGUAUAGGGACGCAUGGGGACGUAUGGGGAUAUAUAGGGCCAUACAGGGACGUAUGGGAACAUAUGGGGCCAUAUACGGACGUAUGCAGAUAUAUGGGGUCAUAUAGGGACGUAUGGGGACAUAUGGGGUCAUAUAGAGUUGUAUGGGGACAUAUGGGGAUAUGUGGGGUCAUAUAAGCACAUAUAGGGAUAUAUGGGGUUAUAUAAGAACGUAUGGGGCCAUAUGGGGCUGUAUGAGACCAUAUGAGGCCAUAUGAGGCUGUAUGGGGCUACAUGGGGCUUUAUGGGGUCUUAUGAGGUCUUAUGGGGCUAUAUGGGGCCUUACGAGGUUUUAUGGGGCCGUAUGGGGCCAUAUGGGACCCUAUGGGGCCUUACGUGACUAUAUGGGGCCUUAUAGGGCCAACUGGGGCUGUAUGGAGCCGUUUGAGGCCUUACGUGGCUGUAUGGGGACGUAUGGGGCUAUAUGGGGCCAUAUGGGGCUGUAUGGGUUUGUAUGGGGCCUUAUGGGGCCGUAUGGGACUGCAUGGGGCCUUAUGGGGCUGUAUGGGGCCGUAUUGGCCAUAUGAGACCAAAUGGGGUCGUAUGGGGCUGUAUGGGACCAUGUGGGGCCAUAUGGGUUCGUAUGGGGCCAAAUGGGGCCAUAUGAGGCUAUAUGGGGCCAUAUGGGGCCGUAUGGGGCCAUAUGGGGCCGCAUGGGGCCGUAUGGGACUGUAUGGUGCUAUAUGGGGCCAUAUAGGACUAUAUGGUGCUAUAUAAGGCCAUAUGGGGCCAUAUGAGGCUAUAUGGGGCCAUAUGGGGACAAAUAGGGCCAUAUGAGGCCAUAUGGGGCCAUACAGGGCUGUAUGGGGCUCUAUGGGGCCAUAUAGGGCUGUACGGAGCCAUAUGGGGCCAUAUUGGGCUGUACGGAGCCAUAUGGGACUGUAUGGGGCUAUAUGGGGCCAUAUGGGGCUAUACAGGUUCGUAUAGGGCCUUAUGGGGCUUUAUUGGGGCUACAUUGGUUCAUAUGGGGCUGUAUGGGGCUAUAUGGGGCCAAAUGGGGCCAUAUGAGGCCGCAUGGGACUGUAUGGGGCUAUAUGGGGCUGUAUGGGGCCAUAUGGGGCCAUACGGAGCCAUAUGGGACUGUAUGGGGCUAUAUGCGGCCAUAUAGGACUAUAUGGGGCCAAAUGGGGCCAUAUGAGGCCAUAUGGGACUGUAUGGUGCUAUAUGGGGCCAUAUAGGACUAUAUGGGGCCAAAUGGGGCCAUAUGACGCUAUAUGGGGCCGUAUGAGGCCAAAUGGGGCCAUAUGGGGCCAAAUAGGACUAUAUGGGGCUAUAUAAGGCCAUAUGAGGCUAUAUGGGGCCGUAUGGGGCUCUAUGGGGCCAUAUAGGACUAUAUGGGCCCAAAUGGGGCCGUAUGGGGCCAGAUGGGACUAUAUGGGGCCAAAUGGGGCCAUAUGAGGCUAUAUGGGGCCGUAUGGGGCUAUAUGGGGCCAUAUGGGCUAUAUGGGGCCAUAUAGGACUAUAUAGGGCCAAAUGGGGCCAUAUGAGGCCAUAUGGGACUGUAUGGUGCUAUAUGGGGCCAUAUAGGACUAUAUGGGGCCAAAUGGGGCCAUAUGACGCUAUAUGGGGCCGUAUGAGGCCAAAUGGGACUAUAUGGGGCUAUAUAAGGCCAUAUGAGGCUAUAUGGGGCCGUAUGGGGCUCUAUGGGGCCAUAUGAGGCCAUAUGGGGCCACACAGGGCCUUAUGGGGCUCUAUGGGGCCAUAUAGGGCCGUAUGGGGCCGUGACGCACCAUAGGGGCACAUUGAAGCGCUGCAGGAGGCGGCUGAGCAGACGGCGGCACUGUGGGUCGGACAGCAGCCCCAUAGCGGCACCUCCGGGAGGGCCUCAGCCCCACAACUGCGGGGCGCACAGUUCAGGACCCCAUAAGGGAGACCCACAGAAACCCCACAGACCCCCAACCGCCCCGCAUCACCCCACAGACCACAGAACCACCCCAUAACCCCGUAUCUGCCCCAUAACCACCCCAUAGACCCCAUAUCUACCCCAUAUCAUCCCCACAACCACCCCACAGACCCCAUAAUCACCCCAUAUCUGCCCCAUAACCACCCCAUAGACCCUAUAUCUGCCCCAUAACCCCAUACCUGCCCCAUAACCACCCCACAGCCCCAUAUCAGCCCCCCAACUGCCCCACAUCGCCCCACAGACCGCAGAACCGCCCCAUAACCCCGUAUCUGCCCCCAAACCAUCCCAUAGACCCCAUAUUUACCCCAUAACCCCAUAUCUGCCCCAU